rnacentral:rRNA from 1 species
AAAAAUUAGCUUGUUAAGUUAAGGUAUUAUUCUUUAGAAAAUUAGAAAUUAUCAAAAUAUUGAUAAAUUUAUUAGAAAAAAGUAUUGUAAUAAGAAAUUUUUUUAUAAAAGCUAUAGUAAUAGUACUGUGAAGGAAGAUUGAAAGAGUUAGUAAAAAAAAUAGAAAAGAAAAAGUUAUUGUUUAUACCUUUUGUAUGAUGGUUGAGUAAGAUUAAUCAAUUAUGAUUUUGUAUCCCGAAACUUAGUGAGCUAGUGUUUUCUUUCUUUAAGAGAAAAAAAAUUUUACUGUUGCAGUAGUAAGUUUUGAGGAUACAUUAGAUGUGAAAUGUUUAUCGUACUAAGAGAUAGCUGGUUUUUUAAGAAAUUGAUUUUAGUCAAGUAUAAACUUAUAAUAUUAAUGAAUUUUUUAUGAAGAAAAUAAAAUAAGUUAUAAUUUUUUAUUUUAAGACAGAUAGGGAUAAGCUUGUCUGUUAAGUAGGAAAAAGCCUUAAUAAUAAAUUAAAGAUGAAAGUUUUAUAAAUGUGAAAGAACAAAAAGGUAAGUAGGAUUAAUAGCAUCUAUCUUUUGGGAAAGCGUUAAAGCUUAUAUUGUUGGUGUUUAAUCAAAUAAUAUUAGAAUUAAGUCUGAAGUUAUUUUUAAUUAUUAAAAAAUUGUAUGUAGUUACAUGAUAUAAUGCUUAAAUGAGUAAAGAAUACUAUCGGUUGUAAGUUAUUCAUUCCUAACUAAGGAAGGAUAAAAUAUUAUAAUUUAACGGGAAAAAAUUUUUAUAAGUUGUCUUCCAACUCAGGAGAUAGGUUUUUAUUAAUAUAAGGAAAAGGAACUCGGCAAAAUUUUACCUCGCCUGUUUACCAAAAACAUCGCUCUUUGUAAAAUUAUUAAGAUAUAAAGAGUUCUGCCUGCCCAGUGACGUAGUUAAACGGCCGCGGUAUUUUGACCGUGCAAAGGUAGCAUAAUCAUUUGCCUCUUAAAUAGAGGCUGGUAUGAAUGGCAAGACGGAGGUUAAGCUGUCUCUUUCUUAUAUCUUGAAUUUAAUAUUUUUGUGAAGAAGCAGAAAUUUAUUCGUAGGACGAGAAGACCCUAUCGAGCUUUAAUUAUACAUGUCUAUAAUGGUUGUUAUUUGAUAAGGCUAAUUAGAUUAAGUUUUUGAUUAUAUGAUAUUAUUUUAAGAAUAAUAAAUUUUAGGUAUAAAGGUUUUGAUUGGGGCAAUCAUGGAGAAAAAAUAUCCUCCAUUAAAAAAUAAGAAAUAACACUUUCUGUUAGAAGGAUCCGCUGUAUAGCGAUAAAGGAAUAAGUUACCGUAGGGAUAACAGCGUAAUUUUUUUGGAGAGUUCAUAUUGAUAAAAAAGUUUGCGACCUCGAUGUUGGAUCGAGAUUUCCUAGAGAUGCAGUAGUUUCUAGAGGUUGGUCUGUUCGACCAUUAAAAUCUUACGUGAUCUGAGUUCAGACCGGUGUAAGCCAGGUCAGUUUCUAUCCACGAAAAGUUGAUUUUUUUUAGUACGAAAGGACCAAAAAAAUAACACGAAUGUUUAAAAAUAGGUGUUAAAAAAAGUUUUGAAAAAAAAUGAAAAUUUUAUAAAAAAAUUUAAGUUUUAUUUUACUUUG